UUUAUUUGAAAUGCUUUUACCUUCCAAAUUCAAACCCUUCUCUCGUUUGUUUAUUACUAAUGAUUAAUAAGUUAUAAACUACCAUGAUAAUGCAAGGACUUAAUUGUUCAUAAUUGAAUUUUUUUUGUCAUCAAAAGUUAAAAGAGUUCAAAGUUUAAGGGCAUUUUGUGGAAUAUUUCCUUUUUAUCCUUUCCUUAAAAACGGCGUCAAAAUUUAAAUUGCAAGAGGCAGACGGCGACUCGAUUUUUUUUUUCCCGGUUGAAGAAUGGAACGCAAAGAUAAUCAAUCUCCCCAAGGUGAAAUUGCUGGGAUUUUGGUUGAAUUCUUGGAGGUGGCAAUCACUUCAGUUGUUUUCCUCAAACGAAUUUAUCCUUCUGGUGCUUUUGAGAGGAGGAGGUAUAUGAAUGUGGUAGUACAGAGGGCGCGACAUCCUCAGCUCAGAGAAUAUAUUCAUUCUGCUGUUUCUGGACUUCUUCCUUUCAUCCAAAAGGGUCUGGUGGAGAGAGUUGCUGUUAUUUUUUUCAACACUGACAACAUUCCGGUGGAGAGGUUUAUUUUCAAACUAACAGUUAAUCAAUCUUUCGGCUCAAAGGUGGAAGAAAGUGAUCUAGAGUUCUCUCUUAGAUCAUUCUUGAUCAAACUUUCUGUCUCCCAACCCCUUACAAGGGUUCUUCCCCGUGAUUGCAGAUGGGAGAUCACGGCUUACUUCCAGUCUCUCCCUCAGGUUAGUACUAGCAAGGAUACAGAGUUGUGGAUCCCAACUGAUACCAAACAGUGGCAACAACCUCCCCUAAUUACACCUAUCAAGUCGAUGAACAGUGAACCUAUGGGUGUGCAGUUAUACUUGGAACAUCCAAGCCUAACUGAACCGAAAUCUUAAAGGGGAAAUCAUACAGCAUUCCAAGUAAUCUGCUGAAACAUACGAGCAGAUGUUUUGAAGAGAUAUGGAAAAAUUGGAGAUGGCUGAUUAAUCUACAACUUCAACUAACAAGUCAUUAGUAGUAUUAUGAUGAGGAAUCAACAUACAGGCUACUUGCAGGGGGACGGUUAUGGUAUGGGUGAUUGAUUAUUGCUUCCAAGAAAGGACCUCAAUCGUCCAAUGUUCCAAUAAGGAUAGCUGCUUGUUUUACCUUUCUGUUUUCCUAUUCUCUGAGUUAUGAGAGGGUCCUUCAGAAUACUACAUUCAGCAAGCAAGGCCCAACAAGAAAGGAUGGAGAACUCAUGAUGAAGAAUGGCCAGCAAUUAAGGUGAAGUGCUUAUGGGACCUUAUAAAAAGGGGGUCAAUAUGCUUGCGGCCUUAAAAAGUUAGUGGUUCCUUUUUUGGUUGAUAUUUCUAUAUUUUGAUUAUAUUUAUGUGUGAUUGUAGAACCAAAUCAUAGUGUAUGUUCCUUCAUUUGCUAGGGAAUGUUGGGGUUUGGUUAGAAUGUAAUUUGUUAUGGCAGAUUCAGAUCAUUUAUCUAAUCCCACUAAAGAGGUACUGUCAGAUAAAGUGUUGACAUUUAUUUGACAGAACUAGCCAAAUUUAAAAACAACUUUGCUCAAUUGUAAGCUGAAGACUGAAUUUCAAUUCUUCAUGCUUUUGCUUGAACAAGGGUGAAGGGUUUUUCUUGUGUUUCUAAUAAUGGUCUUGUAUUUGCAUGCUUAUAUAUGACUUUAUACAGUCAAUGACAGAAUAGUAGCUGAUAAUAAUGCUACUACACGGGGUAUUGAUGCCCAACAUACUACACUUCUUGCCUGGACCUAUAAGUAUUUUCCUUGAGAUCACUACAAUGCCAAGGUCUUGCACACCCUUCAAAAUGAUCAUGUGGAAACAGUCGAUGGCUAACUUUUGUAAAAAUACUUUCAUUUCUUUUUCUUUAACUUAAUUGUGAUGUAUUUUGGUUUUCCUUUGGGUUCACGUUCUCUUCUCAUGAUUGGUACAGGCUGUUAGGAUUUCAGAUAAAAAUGUUGAAAUAAAAGCAAAUUCUAGGUAGAAAACCAAGAACAAAGUAUAAUCUUACAAUAAACUCGCCUGAUGAGCUUGUAAUCAAGUAACAGUGGUCUCUACUGGAAGACUGAAUGAUCUU